CUCAUUCAGGGGUUGCACUGCAAUUAUUCCAGCUAACCAGCUUUUCAGAACUAACCAGUUAGGAAAGAGGAAACUGCAGUGCUUGUAAGACCAGCUCAUAGGAUGAGGCUGGUGGGGCUUCAUAGCAAAAUGAGAGAUUUUAAAAGAGCAGAGACAGUGUCGCAACGACCUGCAAAUCUGUAAAGUGAGGCACCUGCAGGUUGUCCUGUCCUCGAAGGCAUUCCCGGGGUUGGGGGUUGCCCCUACCAGGCGUUGCAGGCAUGGCUCCUGUGCUGUGUUUGUGUCAGUAGGUGGCACAGAGAAGCAGGCUAGGUCUACGCUCAGUGCUCUGAUGGGUGGGCACUCAGAAUGAUUACUAGCCUGACAAAAUUUGCACAUUUUCUUUUGCUCCUUUGUGGGGGUUGCAGGGGCUGAUCCCCAGUAUUAUUUAAGUCUGGAUUGGAUGCCAGGAAAGGAGGACUAUGUUUGUAAAUGGUAUUUCCGAGGGUACUAAGUUCAGUUUUUACUCAGGGACAUGAUGCUGGCUUUUCAACACAUGUUUAAAAUGAGCUCUGAAAGUUAUUGGCCAAAAUGAAGAUGUUACAAGGGAGCUGAGAAGUCAUGAAGUCCAACUUCCAACCCACAGAGGACUCCUGUUGUGGCAUCACUGGCCGAUGGAGCCGGCAGCAUCAUGGCCACAAGUGACGGGAAUGAGAUGGGACACCAUUCUGAGAGGUUUCCAAGGAGUCGGGCUCCAUUCUUCCUUCAGUGACCUUCCUCUUCGGUUUCACUUCAAUUCAACAUGGGUUCUUUCCUCUAGCCUCAAUGGUGCACUUUUGGAGAAUCAUCACCUGGGAAAUGUGAUUUCGAGUGAGCCAUGUUCUGAGCCUCCUUGAAAGCGCCAGCUUGCUUGUAUUCUUUAAGGUAUGCAGGUAAUCCUCGAGUUAUGAAUGUAACCCAAACAUUCGUUCGAUUGAAUCAUAUUAAAUGAACGUAAUCACUCCCUGCUUUCCCCAGUGCAUUUGUUAAUCGAAUGAGCAGGUCAUUAAAUGCAUGAGGUAUCUCAGAGUGGGGAAGAGAUGUGGGAUGUCCUCAAAUCCACUGAAAUACCUCAUGCUCUCCAGGGGUCCCCACAAUUAUUCCCCCCCCCCCCAAUCCUGCCCCGCCAGGUCUCCACAGACUCUGCCUGCUUUGCUAGCGUCCUGGAUUCCACUUACUCCUCCCCACCCCAUUUCCUAUGGAUUACUUACUUUUUGAAGAGCUCCAAAAGAGGCUGGCCCACUUGCAGAGAAGCUAAAGUGUUUUAUUCAGAUGGUGGCGAAGCUGUAAGAAUGUGAAAUCUAAGGAAAACAUUUUUGCCAGUUUCUCAGAAAAGUCUUCGGCUUGGGGCCAUGUGUCCAGCAGGCUCUGGUAGUAGAAAAGGCCUGGGGGUGGGUGGGUACAGCAGCCUUCUGUUUCAAGACAGCUUCAGGGAUUGAGACAGCAGCAGCCGCCAAUCUCAUUUGAACUAGCUCUUGAGCUGCAUGUGGCUCUUUCACCCCUCUGCUGCGGCUCCGUCACUCAAAAUAUGCGUCACAACCGCCAGUGUGCAUGCAGUUUCUUGAGCUUUUCAACCCCCAGUAGGCCAACCAUGGAUAAAUCCAAGAAAAGGAAAGUUUCAGAAGAAAACGUUUAAUUCAACUACAUAUGCUAGUUUUGUGGCAACUCAAGAAAUAGGCAUAGGAAGGGUUUUGUGUUUUGUUUUCUGUGGGAAAUGGGUCCAAAUGAUUCUUUGAGUGAUUAAGGUUGCAGACCCCUGAACUAGCCAGUCAGCAGCAAGCAGGAGGCUGCUUAUUGCUGGCCAGACUGGGCCCAUACUAGCCUGCAGGCACUCAUGGCAGAGAAGCCGGUCUUUUAUUCAGAUGGGGAAAGCUGUUUUCUCUCUGGCUGUUCGUAUUGGCGAACAACUACCGUGGUGCUGCAAGAUUUGUUGUUUUGGGCCUCGUUUGGAAAUACUAUGGGGGGUGCUGACCAUGUAGCUUCGAACUUUGCCUAAGGGAACGCUCGUAACCCGGGGAUUACCUGUACGGAGCAGCACAGCUGUCUGAAGACAGAGGCACCUCCAGGUUUACUGCAAAUAUUGAAUCCUCCAAGAGCGGCUCCAAAAGAGAAACUGCAGCAGAUCCACCCCUUCCUCGCCCAGCCUGGGUUUAUUAUCCUUCUUCAAAUACACAUUCUGGAAAAAUCCAGUAUUCUAAUGAAAGCUGGCCAAUGCAGGGUAGAAGGGAAAUAGGAUUAUAAAGAAGUUGCAAAUAAAAAGUUUUCUUCAAAUCAGAACGGCCUGUUUUCAUUGAGUCCUGCAUGUUUUGAUUCUGCCAAGUGCUUAUCCUACCUGGGCUUUUUUCUAGGUAGGGGGAGGCUUAAGAGGGGGGGGGGGUUUGCAAUGGCUUCCAUGAAUGAGUGGAUCACAUGGUGCUGGGGCUCCAUCUUGACUGCCCCCCCCCCCCCGCAAGAGAGACAUGGGGCUGCUGGGUUGUUUCUGUCCCUGUUGUCCCUGGAGAAAAGGGGAGAGCAGGCACCCCCCAGCAACAGCCUUCUCCCCCCUAAAAUGCCUUUUGGCUGUAAAAAUUUUCCAAAAGUCUCUUGACAAGCCCAUCCCCCAAUUGGUGGUUUAUUAGAUGUUUAUGUUUCCCUUGCUAAUUUAUAAGUAAUUCAAGGCAGCACACAUACUACAGGCAGUCCUCAAUGUACGACCACAGCUGAGCCCAAAAUUUCUGUUGCUAAGUGAAACAUUUUGAGUUUUGCCCCAUUUUUACGAACUUCCUUGUCACUGUUGGUUGUUCAGUGAAUCUGGCUUCCCCGUUGACUUUUCAGAAGGUGGCAAAAGAGAAGACUGACCACCACUGACCAUCAUAAAUACGAACCAAUGGCCAACCAUCUGAAUUUUGAUCACGUGAGCACAGGGAUGCUGCAGUGGUCAGGCCGCUGUAGACCUGCAAGAUACAACAAAAAUGGAGCCUGGGAACUGUGUUAGCUACUUUAACCUCAGCAGCUGGAGACUUACAAUGUACA